CUGUAAAAUUUGAGUUUUCCCGCCAAAACCGUAAAAUUUGAGUUUUCCCGCCAAAACCGUAAGACCGAGUUUUUCCGCCAAAACCGUAAAAAUUGAGUUUUCUGCCAAAACUACAAAAUCGUAAUUUUUCCGCGUAAAUCGUAAAACCAAAAUUUUCACCAAAACUAUACAAUCACAUUUUCCUAAAAAAAAUAAUUAAUUAAUUAUAUUAAGUUAUAUGGGUUAAUAGGGUCCCCCACUAAUUUUAAGUAGAACCUAUUUAAUAAACAGGUCUUAACAAAACUACCCGUUUAAAAUCCAUUAACCUAAAUGGGUCUAAAUGAACAUUUUUUUUUUAAAACCCAUUAAAAACCCGCGGAGAGAACCCGUUAUAACAUCCCUACUUAUAGGUCUAGUCCUUAACGGUAGUGGGGUUUUCUAUCUUAGGAAUUAGACAAAUAUGCGUCUGGUUUAACUUGGUGUCUAGGUAAUUAUUUUCAAAGAAGUUCCGGACAAAAGAGAAGACACCUGUUUUGAUUGCUUCCCAAUGUUGAUGGUAGAAUGCAGCUGACAUACCGUCUGGACGAGGCGUCUUGUCAGGAUUCAUAGCGAAGACUGCCUUCUUGACUUCCAUCUCAGUGACAGAUUCUGUUAAGCUUGCAUUGAUCUCCUCUGUUAUGUUCGCGGAAUACCUUCCAUUAAAGAGGGAGAUAUUAUACUUCCAUUACUAGAGAAAAGAUGAGCAAAAUAAUGUUCAAUGUGUGAGAAGAUAUCCUUAGCGUUUUUGUAGUAAUGUCACUUGAAAAGAAUUUAAUGGAAAAUGUAUUGUCAAUAUGUAAAGAAGCAAUUCCUUACUUUUAUGAUGAGAUUUGUCAUCCUAAUAAAAUUCUAACGGUAAUUGCAUUUAUCUCCAUUUCUCUGCUUCUCAUAUAUUCCAAAAGUAAGGCAAAUAACGGCGACGAUCAGUGUGAACUUCUACGACGUCCGUCAUAUAUUUUCUUGCUCAACCGUCCUCACCUCCGUUCUUCUCACAAGUAUGGUAUUAUCACCAACGAGAUGUCCUCACCUACGACCACCUUACCGUUUCUUGCUCAACCUUCACGUUUCAUGUUUCUUGUCUAGAAAAAGACACACAAUCUGUAAAACUGUAACUCUUUGUCAUGUUUACAUACAAUCUGUAACUCAUGCAUCUCCACGGUCUUGUAUAAUGGACGUAUUCACAUUCGUUCAAGCUUUUUUUUUCUUAAGUAAUGAAAAAAAGUGACAAAACUCAAAUAACACAUAUAUUUCUCAUCUUAUAAGUGCUAGUAUAACGAAUAUACCGAUAUUUUGAUUUGUACUCCCACCUAAAAACAAAACAAGUGAAUAACAGAAAUAUCUUUUGUAGAUGUUUUCAGAAAAUCCGUACAAAUUAGUACUUAUCAAAAGUUCAAAUUGUUGUUGACAAUAAUCAAAUAAUAUAUCACAAAAUCUCAACAAAUAAGUGUGUAUCCUUUUAGAAAAAAAUCUCUUUAUAGAUUGCUACACCUAUAUAUAGCACUGAUCAUAUCACUUCUCAAAGCAAGAAAAUCCCACCUAGAAGAACAAACAAUUUCCAAGUACCUGAAGGUAAACUCUUUAUAAUUUAUUUAUAAAUCACAUGUUAAACAAUUAGUAAUGUUUAUUAUUUAAAAUUUUAGGUAAAUUCUAUCUAGUUGAUUGUGGAUUUGCAAGCAGAGUCAAUUUUUGGCUCCUUUUCGAGGUAAUCGAUACCAUCUACAAGAAUUUACUGGGCAAGGAUGUGAUCCUAACACUGAAUCUGAGUUAUUCAAUCUUCAUCAUGCUAGUUUGAGAAAUGUGAUCGAGAGGAUAUUUGGAAUGUUUAAAUCAAGAUUUGCGAUUUUAAAUCAGCACCUCCUUUUUCCUAUAAAAAACAAGCUGGAUUGGUAUUGGCAUGUGCAGCGUUGCAUAACUUUCUGUGGAAAGAAUGCCGAUCAGAUGUAGGUGAAUUUUCUGCUGAAGAAAAUGUCCAACAGAAUGCAACAAAUGGCAAUCAAGUUAUUCGAAACGAACCUUUGGGAACACAAGAACAAGAUAGAGAAAAUGCAAAUGCUUGGAGAACAACUAUGGCAAAAGAUAUGUGGAGAGAUGUCAUGGAUUUAGAUGAUCCAUAGAUCUUAUUGAUUAGUAUUAUGCAUUUUAAUAAAAUUGCUACAGUCAGUGAACUUUUGUAGUAGUAGUAACGCUUAUUUUUUUACUCUCAGUUUUAUCACUAAUAAAAUAAUGUUUGUUACCUUUUCUAUAAGAAAGAUUCAAAAAUUUCAUUGAUUUUGGAGAAAUUGAUAUUCUAUCAAAAUUGCGUGCAUUCUUUAAAAAUCCAUAAAAAAAAGUAAACAUGGGAAUUAUGUAAAUGCAUUAAAAUCUCAUCAAGUCUUAUAAACUAUGGCAAAAAUUACUAUUUAUGAAUUCUUUCAAAUUCUAUUAAAUUCUUUGAUUGAAUACCACCUCCUUAAUCUCUUGGUUUUAUCUUUGCUCCCCAUCCAUUCUCUUGUCUCCCUUUCGAUAUGCCUCAGAAACUGGGCUAGGGUUUCGUUCGUACGGCAUCAGCUCCGCUCGCGAGGGGUUCGUUUCCGGUGAUGUUUCCUCUUCCUCUGGUCACUGGGUGAGUUUGCGGCAGCGGUUUAUGGUGGGUGUAGUCGGUUUUUAGAGUUCAAGGAGUGGAUCUGUGAUUUUCGCUUUUCAGAUCUGUCUCUUGGUUCUCGUCGCUCCUUGCGGGAGAGAUUUGAGCGGCUCUGUCAAGAUCCUGUCUUGGUGGUGUUGUUUGGCAGCGGCGGUUGUUUUUUAGGUUCUCUUCGGUGUCGUGGAGGUCCAAUGUCUUCCCAAUGCUGUCGAGUGAGCUCCGGAGGUUUCCACUUCCUCGGAGGCGAGUCUUGGAUCGAGUUACGCCGGUGAAGAUGGUGACUCGGUCAGUCGGUCCUGUUUCUGACUUGUGAGAUUACGGCGGUGUUCUUGAAAGGUGUCGUCUAUGGCUCCUCGAUGUUUGCUCGACGUCUCUCAUCACUACAAAUCUGUUCUACUUGGUCAUGUUCUGGUACCUUCGGUUUACUGCGACGGCCCUCUUUAUCGAAGUUGUUCUCAGUGUUCCCUUGUUCUGUCCCUGUUUGACACCGGAGACUACUUACGAUUCACAGAAGACUAUUUUUCGGUUCUCGAUUAACAGCAAAUGUCUUUGCGAUUUGUGUCAUAAUCGCUUGGUGUCAUCAUUUGGCUUGUCUCACUUCCCAGUACCAUGGGUGAUCCUUGAUCAUCUGUGGUAGUGUAGAUUAGCUAUUCUGUGCAGGUUUGAGAGCUAUUCCAGGCUGUGUGUAAUGGCGAGUUCAAGCUCGAACUUUGGUUCUAUUGGCGUUCCCGGAGAGUGGUAUAGCAGGUGCUCCGACAGCUCUCCUUAGGUAUGGCUGUCCUUGUUCUUUCUCUCCCUUGUAUGUCUUGCGCUUCAUCGACAAAGAAGAAUGUAAACCUGGCAAGAUCACUGAUUACCAGCUACUUCUGGCGACGUCUCGGGACUUCGGCAUCCGAGAGGUGGCGCAAUGGAGGUUGGACAGACAGGGAAACCGAGCAAGUGUAUCCAUACAGAGUGGACCUUUCACUCAACGCACCCUGACUGUUGGUAGUUAAUAGGUGGAACUAAAGGAGUUUGUUGGACCAAAGAGAUUCUCUAAGCGCCAAAGAGUUUCGUUUUGCAUUAUGUCCAAAGGAAAUGUAAAACUUUGAUCUAUUCAACAAGUUGAGAUUUUUCUAAAGCAUUCUUAUAGAUAAACAAACACAAAUCAUGUAUUAUUUUGUAAGAAUGUAACCUCAUCAACAAAAUACAAAUGUAUAAUCAACAAAACCCUUGAACCACUCUUUUACAUAA